GUGGGGUUGCCCGAGCGGUCCAAGGGCGCGGUCUGCAACACCGUUGUUCGCCGGUUCGAAUCCGGCACCCCACUCCA
rnacentral:tRNA from 4 species